rnacentral:rRNA from 1 species
GUAGGUGGCAAGCGUUGUCCGGAAUUAUUGGGGCGUAAAGCGCGCGCAGGCGGUUCUUUGAGUCUGAUGUGAAAGCCCACGGGCUCAACCGUGGAGGGUCAUUGGAAACUGGAGAACUUGAGUACAGAAGAGGAAAGCGGAAUUCCACGUGUAGCGGUGAAAUGCGUAGAGAUGUGGAGGAACACCAGUGGCGAAGGCGGCUUUCUGGUCUGUAACUGACGCUGAGGCGCGAAAGCGUGGGGAGCAAACAGGAUUAGAUACCCUGGUAGUCCACGCCGUAAACGAUGAGUGCUAAGUGUUAGGGGGGUUUCCGCCCCUUAGUGCUGCAGCUAACGCAUUAAGCACUCCGCCUGGGGAGUACGGCCGCAAGGCUG